rnacentral:rRNA from 1 species
UAGUUUGACUCCGUGGCUCGAGGACGAACGCUGGCGGCGUGCUUAACACAUGCAAGUCGAACGAUGAAGCCGGAGCUUGCUCUGGUGAAUUAGUGGCGAACGGGUGAGUAACACGUGAGUAACCUGCCCUUGACUCUGGGAUAACUGCUAGAAAUGGUAGCUAAUACCGGAUACGACCCUCGGAGGCAUCUCCAGGGGGUGGAAAGAAUUUCGGUCAAGGAUGGACUCGCGGCCUAUCAGCUUGUUGGUGAGGUAAUGGCUCACCAAGGCGACGACGGGUAGCCGGCCUGAGAGGGUGACCGGCCACACUGGGACUGAGACACGGCCCAGACUCCUACGGGAGGCAGCAGUGGGGAAUAUUGCACAAUGGGCGCAAGCCUGAUGCAGCAACGCCGCGUGAGGGAUGACGGCCUUCGGGUUGUAAACCUCUUUUAGUAGGGAAGAAGCGAAAGUGACGGUACCUGCAGAAAAAGCACCGGCUAACUACGUG